rnacentral:misc_RNA from 1 species
UACGGAGGGUGCGAGCGUUAAUCGGAAUUACUGGGCGUAAAGCGCACGUAGGCGGUUUGUUAAGCUAGCCGUGAAAGCCCAGGGCUCAACCUUGGAACUGCAGUUAGAACUGGCAGGCUAGAGUACAGUAGAGGGGUGUGGAAUUUCCUGUGUAGCGGUGAAAUGCGUAGAUAUAGGAAGGAACAUCAGUGGCGAAGGCGACACCCUGGACUGAUACUGACGCUGAGGUGCGAAAGCGUGGGUAGCGAAUGGG